ACAAGAACUUCCUCCUCUCACAGUGUCCUAUGCCAGAACAAACUGUGGCUCUAAACCAUUGCCUAGCCUCUGCCUGUAGGCUUCUUGCACUGAAGUGGGUUGCACAGUA
rnacentral:snoRNA from 1 species